GAGCGGCGGACGGGUGAGUAAUGUCUGGGAAACUGCCUGAUGGAGGGGGAUAACUACUGGAAACGGUAGCUAAUACCGCAUAACGUCGCAAGACCAAAGUGGGGGACCUUCGGGCCUCAUGCCAUCAGAUGUGCCCAGAUGGGAUUAGCUAGUAGGUGGGGUAACGGCUCACCUAGGCGACGAUCCCUAGCUGGUCUGAGAGGAUGACCAGCCACACUGGAACUGAGACACGGUCCAGACUCCUACGGGAGGCAGCAG
rnacentral:rRNA from 1 species